AAGAAUGAUGGCACUUCCCAAAUAAAUGUGGUGUAUCCAAAGUUUAAAAAUGGUGAAGGCACUGUGAGGGAUGUCAGAGUUAAGCCCAAAUUUGAGUAUGUGGAUGAAUUAUUUGAGAGUGUGAUGCUAUCAAUAAAAGACAAAGAUUCAUUAUCAAAUUCGCAAAAUCUUUUAAAAGUAAUGUCCCCACCACCAAUGAAUGUCAUGCUGCAAAAGCAACCCAGAUCUGAGGUGCUACUAAAACAGGUCGGUCGAAAAUGCAUUGUGGUCAAUGAUGUCCCCCCCUCAAUUCCAGCAGCUACCAGUGUGCCAUUCAGCUGUCAGUCAAAAGUGGCAGUUUCAAAAGAAACAAGUCAGCCGAAAAGUUUUACAUGCAAGAAGCCAAUGAAAGGUCACAAACAUGUGGCAGAUUGCCCAAAAAAUAGGAAAACUUAAUUUUCAUAUUACUCAUUUAUUUCGUUUUCUUCGUACCCUCUAAAUUCCAACUUUUUAUCAUUAAAUUUUAAUCUUAUUGCAUGGUAUGUACAUGCUGGUAAUGGUCUUCUUUCUUCUCUUAAGCAUCCAUAAAUCAUAGAUGUGAAUUCUCUGUACGCAACACAUCGUAAAAACCUGAAUAUAAAGCCAAAUUGUUACUAAUGUGUCAUAACACUAAAAUAUACUUAAAUACUGGGAAAUAACAUAGUAUGUUAUAAUACAUGUUUUCAGAUCCUGUUUCUCUGUAUCGUCUUUGUUCUCUGGUUUUAUAUUUCCUAGCAGCCAUUUUUAGCGACCACUUUUCCAAACAAACUGGUCUGAAACCUGGGUGUAUAGUGACACAACAUGGAAUAGUUGACAGAUCUGCCAGAACCGACUGGUGUGUUAAGCUUUCAGCUACAGACUUAAGUUCUUGGCAGCACCAGGCCUCUAGAGGAUUCUGAAAAAGUGUAACUUGAUAAAAACCACACUUGCACCUGAUCAAUAAAGAAAAUCACAUUAAAAAACUGUAAUCGAGCAUCUUUUAACAAUUUUUAGCCCAAAAGUAAAUAAAAAAGCGAGGGAAAUCUCGAAUGGAAAAUUGCACGCUUAUGUAUAUAUUUCAUAACUAGAAACCUGAAUUGAAAUACAUUUCAUAAGUUGAA